UACGUAGGGUGCAAGCGUUAAUCGGAAUUACUGGGCGUAAAGAGCUCGUAGGCGGUUUGUCGCGUCUGCUGACUGAAACCGAGCUCAACCUCGGGCCUGCAGUGGGUACGGGCAGACUAGAGUGCGGUAGGGGAGAUUGGAAUUCCUGGUGUAGCGGUGGAAUGCGCAGAUAUCAGGAGGAACACCGAUGGCGAAGGCAGAUCUCUGGGCCGUAACUGACGCUGAGGAGCGAAAGCAUGGGGAGCGAACAGG
rnacentral:rRNA from 1 species